GCUGUGGUUUCCUUUGCUAGGCUUGCCAGCGUAUGAAAUUAAAGAAUUGAGUGCAUUCAGGAUUCGGAUAGCCAGGAGAGAAGAGCAGCCUGGAAGACCAUCUGCAACUGUCUAGGAUAGACUGAAAACGUCUUGGGGAAUAGUCGCAGUGUCACAAGAACCACCCUGGCGCUUUGUUUAAUGCAUCUUUUGGUUCUGAACUCAGAGACUCCAUCAGGCUCCAUCUAUGCUCCCUCUUCCUGCAUCAGCAUCCGGUCACUUUCUCCAGACAGUCAGAGAGGUGAUCUCAGGGCCUACCCUCAAGCAUCAUUGUCCUGCCCCACCUGAUGUCCGAUGGCCUUGAAACUGUUGUUAGCAAUCAGACAUCUUCACCACCUGCCCCAGGGACCCAGCAACAGCAGGAUACAUUAUCACAGCUGCCAAGAUAGGACAUUCCUACUGUCGGCACGGGUAGCAGAUCCUCGCUACAUCUUCAGAUAAACAGCCAG